UCGCAUCUGUGCAUGCAGCAUAUCAAUAAGCGGAGGAAAAGAAACUAACAAGGAUUCCCCUAGUAACGGCGAGUGAAGCGGGAAGAGCUCAAAUUUGAAAUCUUAAAGGGUUUCCCUUUACGAAUUGUAGUUUAAAGAAGUGUUUUCUGUUGAGGUUUUGGUAAAAGUUCUUUGGAAUAGGACAUCAUAGAGGGUGAGAAUCCCGUAUUUGACCUUUACUUUCAACUUUGUGAUACACUUUCAAAGAGUCGGAUUGUUUGGGAAUGCAGUCCAAAAUGGGUGGUAAAUUUCAUCUAAAGCUAAAUAUUGGCGAGAGACCGAUAGCGAACAAGUACCGUGAGGGAAAGAUGAAAAGAACUUUGAAAAGAGAGUUAAACAGUACGUGAAAUUGUCAAAAGGGAAGCGUUUGACACCAGUGUUGUUUUUCUGAAAAUCAAUUAAAGAACUGUUUAUGCUAAGUUGUUUAGACUUUAUCAGCUAACUGUUUAGUUUUGAGCUUUUCUUUAAUGCACUUUUCAGUUAACAAGUCAACAUCAAUUUCUUUUGCUGUAAAAAAGCUUGAGGAAGGUGGCUUGAGAUUCGUCUUAAGUGUUUAUAGCCUCUUGCCUAUGCAGUCGGAGAGAUUGAGGUCUGCAGCGUAGAUCCUUCGGGGCUAAAUGCAUUUGUGCUAAGUUAUAGCAUUUUAUAGACAACUUGUUGACUAUGAUUUGUCUUGUAGCUUACUCGCUUAUGUUAUUUUACCUACGCUUAGGAUGUUGAAGAUGUAGCACAUCAU
rnacentral:rRNA from 1 species